rnacentral:rRNA from 1 species
AGUGAACGCUGGCGGUAGGCCUAACACAUGCAAGUCGAACGGCAGCACAGUAAGAGCUUGCUCUUACGGGUGGCGAGUGGCGGACGGGCGAGGAAUACAUCGGAAUCUACUUUUUCGUGGGGGAUAACGUAGGGAAACUUACGCUAAUACCGCAUACGACCUACGGGUGAAAGCAGGGGAUCUUCGGACCUUGCGCGAUUGAAUGAGCCGAUGCCGGAUUAGCUAGUUGGCGGGGUAAAGGCCCACCAAGGCGACGAUCCGUUGCUGGUCUGAGAGGAUGGUCAGCCACCCUGGAACUGGGACACGGUCCAUACUCCUACGGGAGGCAGCAGUGGGGAAUAUUGGACAAUGGUCGCAAGCCUGAUCCAGCCAUACCGCGUGGGUGAAGAAGGCCUUCGGGUUGUAAUGCCCUUUUGUUGGGAAAGAAAAGCAGCAGGUUAAUACCCCGCUGUUCUGACGGUACCCAAAGAAUAAGCACCGGCUAACUUCGUG